rnacentral:SRP_RNA from 1 species
AAUGGCGUGCACCUGUAAUCCCAGCUACUCGGAAGUCUGAGGCUGGAAGAUCACUUGAGCUCAGAAGUUCUGGGCUGCAGUGCGCUGUGUGUAUGGGGUGUCUGCACUAAGUUCGGCAUCAAUAUGGUGCCCUCCCGGGAGAGGGGACCCACCAGGUUGCCUAAGGAGCCGUGAACCGGCCCAGGUCAGAAACAGAGCAGGUCAACUCCCGUGCUGAUCAGAGAAUUUAGAAUAAUCAAAGCAAUUUAAAAAAAUAACAAAGUUGGAGGGUUUAU